UACGUAGGGUGCGAGCGUUAAUCGGAAUUACUGGGCGUAAAGCGUGCGCAGGCGUUCGUUAUGUCCGAUGUGAAAGCCCCGAGCUUAACUUGGGAAUGGCAUUGGAAACUGGCGGGCUGGAGUGCGGCAGAGGGGGGUGGAAUUCCACGUGUAGCAGUGAAAUGCGUAGAGAUGUGGAGGAACACCGAUGGCGAAGGCAGCCCCCUGGGCCGACACUGACGCUCAGGCACGAAAGCGUGGGGAGCAAACAGG
rnacentral:rRNA from 1 species